rnacentral:rRNA from 1 species
AGUUCGGAAUAACCUGCCGAAAGGCGGGCUAAUACUGGAUAGAGCGAUGGAAGUCAUAAUGACUUUUUCGGGAAAGGGAGCUUGAUAAGAGCCCUCGCUUUAAGAUGAGCCUGCGUCUGAUUAGUUAGUUGGUGAGGUAACGGCUCACCAAGACGAUGAUCAGUAGCUGGUCUGAGAGGAUGAUCAGCCACACUGGAACUGAAACACGGUCCAG